AGUGAACGUGUGCUGACUGGCAGCGAGCUGUCUGAGUGGUUGAGUGGUCAUCUCCCUGGUGGUGUAAGGCUUGCCAGCCACUCGCUGUUAAAGCUGAUUGCAAAUCCUACACUCAUCAAUGCUCCGAGGGGCUGAACUAUUCACACACCUGGAAGCUGCCUGACUUUAUGCCUUCCCUGCAACCCAAGGAACUUGAGACUCUACAAAAGCUGCUCUACAAGCUCCCCUGAUCAAUGCAGACAAGUGUAGACGAGGAAUCGAAAUCAGAAAAUGUGAACAAACGCAGAGAAGCAGAGACACAGAAUGCAGAAAUGGAUAGAGAAACUGGCAGAAAAAGAGAAAAAUACAAUUCCAGAAACUAAUUAAAGGACACCAGAUCAGGGACACCUGCACUCUUGCUGUCAGGCCACAUGCUCCUUCUCCUCUCUAUGCAGACACCAAGAAUUUACCAAUAAGCCAAACCCCACAUUACAUCCCCCGUCCUGCAAAUCUAUCCAAUGUAUCUAAUACCA